rnacentral:rRNA from 1 species
AGAAACCCAACCAGGGAUUUGCCUCAGUAACGGCGAGUGAAGCGGCAACAGCUCAAAUUUGAAAUCUGGCGCCUCCGGGCGUCCGAGUUGUAAUUUGCAGAGGAUGCUUCGGGAUCGGCGCUGCCCCAGGUUCUUUGGAACAGGACGCCACAGAGGGUGAGAGCCCCGUCUCUGGGCGGCAGCCGAAACCGUGUGAAGCGCCUUCGACGAGUCGAGUUGUUUGGGAAUGCAGCUCAAAACGGGAGGUAAAUUUCUUCCAAGGCUAAAUACAGGCCGGAGACCGAUAGCGCACAAGUAGAGUGAUCGAAAGAUGAAAAGUACUUUGGAAAGAGAGUCAAACAGCGCGUGAAAUUGUUGAAAGGGAAGCGCUUGCAGUCAGACUUGGCCGCCCGGUUCGGCGGGGCCUCGCGCCCCGUCUCCGCCGUGGCGGUCAGGCCAGCAUUGGUUCGGGCGACCGGAGAAAGGCUGCGGGAAUGUGGCUCCUCUCGGGGAGUGUUAUAGCCCGCGGCAGAAUACGGCCAGCCCGGACCAAGGAACGCGCUUCGGCUCGGAUGCUGGCGUAAUGGCUGCAAGCGGCCCGUCUUGAAACACGGACCAAGGAGUCUAACAUCUGUGCGAGUGUUUGGGUGUCAAGCCCUUGCGCGCAAUGAAAGUGAACGGAGGUGGGAGCCCUCGGGCGCACCAUCGACCGAUCCUGAUGUCUUCGGAAGGAUUUGAGUAAGAGCACAGCUGUUGGGACCCGAAAGAUGGUGAACUAUGCCUAAGCAGGGUGAAGCCAGAGGAAACUCUGGUGGAGGCUCGCAGCGGUUCUGACGUGCAAAUCGAUCGUCAAAUUUGGGUAUAGGGGCGAAAGACUAAUCGAACCAUCUAGUAGCUGGUUCCUGCCGAAGUUUCCCUCAGGAUAGCAGCAACGGGACGCAGUUUUAUGAGGUAAAGCGAAUGAUUAGAGGCCUGGGGGUUGAAACAACCUUCACCUAUUUCUCAAACUUUAAAUAUGUAAGAAGUCCUUGUUACUUCAUUGAACGUGGACAUUCGAAUGCACCGUUGCUAGUGGGCCAUUUUUGGUAAGCAGAACUGGCCGAUGGCGGGAUGAACCGACGGCGAUGUUAAGGUGCCGGGAAUGCCACGCCUCAUUCAGAACAC